rnacentral:rRNA from 1 species
GAUGAACGCUGGCGGCGUGCCUAAUACAUGCAAGUCGAGCGAACGGACGAGAAGCUUGCUUCUCUUAUGUUAGCGGCGGACGGGUGAGUAACACGUGGAUAACCUACCUAUAAGACUGGGAUAACUUCGGGAAACCGGAGCUAAUACCGGAUAAUAUUUUGAACCGCAUGGUUCAAAAGUGAAAGACGGUCUUGCUGUCACUUAUAGAUGGAUCCGCGCUGCAUUAGCUAGUUGGUAAGGUAACGGCUUACCAAGGCAACGAUGCAUAGCCGACCUGAGAGGGUGAUCGGCCACACUGGAACUGAGACACGGUCCAGACUCCUACGGGAGGCAGCAGUAGGGAAUCUUCCGCAAUGGGCGAAAGCCUGACGGAGCAACGCCGCGUGAGUGAUGAAGGUCUUCGGAUCGUAAAGCUCUGUUAUUAGGGAAGAACAUAUGUGUAAGUAACUGUGCACAUCUUGACGGUACCUAAUCAGAAAGCCCCGGCUAACUACGUG